UACGUAGGGGGCAAGCGUUGUCCGGAAUUAUUGGGCGUAAAGAGCGUGUAGGCGGUCCGGUAAGUCAGCUGUGAAAGUCAAGGGCUCAACCCUUGAAAGCCGGUUGAUCUGUCGGGCUAGAGUCCGGAAGAGGCGAGUGGAAUUCCUGGUGUAGCGGUGAAAUGCGCAGAUAUCAGGAGGAACACCAAUGGCGAAGGCAGCUCGCUGGGACGGUACUGACGCUGAGACGCGAAAGCGUGGGGAGCAAACAGG
rnacentral:rRNA from 1 species